CCCUGUGACCGGGACGUGCUGGCAAGUUGGGCGUGGAGCGAGGGCUAAUGGGCUCUGCGGACUGGGGCAGGCCCGCCAAACUGCGGCCAGUGCUUCUCUCUGCAGGUAGGGCCAAUGUGAGGACUGAAGGACAACAGACCCCGAAUGCAAAAGACCCCAACCUUCAGGGGCCCUGGAGAAAAGCUGAUGAGCUGACAUCGACAGGGAUAAACACAGCUCAGCACUGACGCUGGGAACGGCAGUGCCAUCAACCCAGAAAUGGUGGGAACAGUGCCAGGUGGCCACCAACCCAAGGCUGCAGGGAACCAGACCAGAAUCCGGGCUUUGGAGGGACUUGGCAAGGCCAACAGCCAGAAGUGCCACGA